UGCCAGCCGCCGCGGUAAUACUGAAGGUGCAAGCGUUAAUCGGAAUCACUGGGCGUAAAGCGCUCGUAGGUGGCUUUGUAAGUCAGAUGUGAAAGCCCACGGCUCAACCGUGGAAUUGCAUUUGAUACUGCAUCACUAGAGUAUGGUAGAGGUAAGCGGAAUUUCCAGUGUAGCAGUGAAAUGCGUAGAGAUUGGAAGGAAUAUCGAUGGCGAAGGCAGCUUACUGGGCCAAUACUGACGCUGAGGUGCGAAAGCGUGGGUAGCGAACGGGAUUAGAUA
rnacentral:rRNA from 1 species